UCUAUACAAACUACUCUGAAUGCACCUAACCACAUGUGAUCCUGGAAGAUAAGCAGGGUCAGGUCUAAUCAGUAUCCGGAUUGGGAAAAAAUAGUCACUUUUUGCUUGAAAGGACAGAUCUAGAA
rnacentral:rRNA from 1 species